CCUUUCUGAUGCAGCUGAGACAGUAGAGAGGAGCCCUUGUCACUUCUAAAGUGCUGCUGGCUUUCUCCCCAGAGGGAUGUCAUGGGAAAAAGCUCGGCGGGACCCUGGAGAGAAACGGGGAUUCCCUUGUUAUAGAGGAUAUCCCUAGUGAUUUCGACGGCGAAAGACUUAAGGAGACGGGGGUCCUGGAGCAUGUUACAGCUGGCCAGGUGGGGAGUGAGCGAAGGCGGGUCGGCGGCAGGGGAGGUCCCGCUCACCUGUGAGAAACAGACCCAGCAGGGACAGGAGGAUUUCACCCACCUGGGCGAGGAUUAAGCAGAUGGACGGGGGUAUGAGUGGUGAAAGGAGGAGAGAUCCAAGACCCAGGAGAAGAUUGCCAGAGAGGCGGCAGGGGUCGCCGGCAAGGGAAAGGAGACGGUCGGGCAGGCAUGGAGCUGCAAGGGAGUCGGGAGCAGAAACAGCGCACAGGACUCCAGCAGAGGCGCCAAGAGAUUUUCAAGUUUGAUGAAUUCACAAAAGAAUUUGUAGUUAGUGUAUUUUUUAAAAUAAAUAUCUUUACAUACUA